rnacentral:lncRNA from 1 species
UUGGUGAUAAACAUCUUUAUAUACAUAAUAACGAUUUAACUACUGGGCUUUAAAAUAUGCCUGGGAGCAUCGAUAUACUGAUAGUAGAUAAAAUUAACGACAUCCCGUAUGUAUGGGCAGGCUCAUAUAAACAUCCAGUAAUUAUCUACUUAGUCAGUGGUGGGGUAUCAAUUAAAUUUCACACGUAAAAAUUACCGUAACACCAUAUGUUAUUACAGUCGUCAAAUGAAUGACGGCAAUAACAUAUUAUUAUUAUAUAAAUAUUAUUAAUAAUAAACAUGGGCAUGUAUACUGUCAGUCAGUCAGUCACUCAUGGGACUGGUUUGUUAUUAAUCAAUUUCAUGUUUAAGUGGUGGAUGACCUCAGUGAUUUUCAGGAAACAGCAGUGUAUUACGAUCUCGCUAAAUCCUUUGAUCGUAUGAUUGAUAAGCUUCAAUUAUGAAUACAUACCACAGGACUAGAUUAAAUAAUGAACGAGUGACACAAAACCUUGUAUUGGAAUAUAUGAUACAUCACAGGAAUGAUAUAAUAGAAUGAUUUUUGCUGAUUUAAAUAAUAUAUAAAAAACGUUAAAAGUGUUAAGAAUUUUUGAAAUAAUGGCAUUUUUAAGUAGCGGUUCUUAAGGCCAUCCCCCAUUUAAAUGUCCGAUAAUUAGUACAAUUUUGAUAGAAAUUUGGGGUGAUAAAUAGUACAAAUUAAUGGCUUAAUAGAAUUUUGGUACAUGUAAAACAUUGAAUUAGAAACACCUUGUGCGUGGCCAGACCAUUUCCUCCAAUUAUCACAAAUAUUGGAUUUAAUAUAAAAAUGGGUGACAAACAAUACCAAAUAUUAUAAUAGAAUUUUGUAUUAUUUAAAAUAUUCUAUUAAAAUCAAUUACUAAUCUUAACCACAAAAACACUGUUAAAUUUUAGGGUUCGAUGGAGAUUCAAUCAACGUGACUUAGUUUAGAUUAAGUUAGGUUAGGUUAUAAUACUAGUUUGAUUGACAUACAUAUUUUCUUAGGUUGAGAUUUACUAUAUCCAGAUAACUGUGAAGAAUUUUAAGAAAAAAUAAGAUUGCAUGUCAUCUGCAUAUGCCUAAGUAUAAACUAGAAAUAAUAUCAGGGCUCUGAGGUACUCCAGAAUUAAUCUCCACUUUUCAUUACUCAUCUAAAACCCAUACUAUUAAUAAUUAUUAUUACUAUUGUUAGUUAUUUUUUAAUAAAACAACAAACAGUACAUGUAAUGACGCGACAUUAAUUGCGCAACAUGUUUACAAUUUUCGCAGCAUCAAUAGUUUGUUCCAGAAAUUGAUAAGAUUGUUGUCAUCACGAGUGGUACUACUUUCACGUUUCUCGUACGUAAAUAUCAUGUUUAUCCAGCGAACGUAAAUAUUUUCGCUUUCAAAAAAAGCGUCAUCAUUAGGAUGUAGUAAGAUUAAGCAAAAAAACACUGUACGUCGUUGUCGGAAAAGAAAAAUCAAGGGCAACUAACUGAAGAAAAAUGUUAAUUUUUUACUUCCUCCAGCUCGCAGCGAAACAAGGUAUAAAAACGAUAUUAGGCAACCAAUGGCUGUGCUACAGGUUUUAUUCGACAUAAGAAAACACAAUAAUUCUUCUAAUAACUUCCUUUAUGUGAAGGUUUACAGUUUUUAUCCACCUUUAAUAUAUCCGGUGUUGUUUUACGUGUGACACCAAACUUGUUUAUCCAGCAGCGCCAUCUUGAGCCACUGAUUUAUGACCUACCCCCGAAAUUUCACUAAUUACUCCAAUCAAAACAAUAUUAAAGGCAAUGGGCGUAAAAGGGUAUCUGAAGGCGGAACAAAAGGGCCGCUGAAAAAGGGCAAGAACGGAAGUACCGGAAAUAAAAACUGACGAGACACUUAUCUUGGGACUCUAAAUCAGUUCUAUUGUACACGGCUCAAUAGGGAGGAAGUGAAUUCAUGAUGCAGGCUCGCACUUUUGAAUAAUAUUUAUGUAUACAUGGGUUGGACUUAGUAGAAUUGUUGGAAAAUUUAUUGAAUAUUUGCAAGGGCUUAUUUAAAAUCAAAGCAACAAUAAGACCAAACCGUUUUUCUUUAAAAAAGAUAUAUAGGGUCAAAGUUGAGUCAUUUGAAUUCGUUAAAAGAAGUUUUUUUCAGUUUCAUAAAAAAAAUUUUUAUUAACUUAAAUGAUUGCUGUUUUUACAAAAAUUGUUCAAAAUUGUCCCCAUUUGUUCAAUUAACACGAAUCUUUACAAGCUUCGAAAAUAAAAUCCUGGUGUCCACGAAUUAAAUUACAAGAAUUUUGUGCUCUUGUUAGUGCUUCUGGAGUAUUGACUGCUUCAUCAUGAAAGACAAACUCGUUUAAAUAGCCCCACAGAAAAAAAUCACAAGGCGCUAAAUCUGGGUAUCGAGGAGGCCAAUAAAUGGGUCCAUCUAUUCGGAAACUCAUUAUUCAUGAACUUCUCGUCUAAAAUGUGGUGGAGCCUUAUCAUGUAGGAACCACAUAUUCUGUCUCACAUAAUUUUAAUAAUUGUGGCAGGUCGUGUCGAAGAAAAUCUAAAUAAAUUUCACCAGUCAGUCGAGGUGUAUACCAAUAAACGUGCCAUUUAUAGGUCCAAUAAGCAGACUUGGGAUAAGUCAUAGGAACUUACCUCCAGAGGAUCGAAUUGCUCUUAACAAGGAAUAGGUAUAUAUUUUCCAUGAUAAGUUCUAAACUAUCAACGAUAAUUAAAAACGAUUAUCAACAUCUCCUAACAUAAUGUCUAAGGAUAUUUAUUAGGGCUAUGAAACGCUUUAAUAGACUACGAUUUCCUAGACUUAUACCAAGUCAUGGGGACCUACUUCCAAAGGAUCGAGUUGCUCUUAACUGGGAAGAGGUAAAUAUUUUCAAACAUGAUUGUUGUGGAAAUUUUGCACUUCAUCUCUCCUAAAUGUGACCUUAUCUGUAAACAAAGUUAAUAUCGUAAAAUCUUCAUUGAUGCCGAACUGUUCUAAAAGACAACUGACAAAAUACAACUCUUCUAGGAUGAUCUUCAAGUUGUAACGCUUGUACCCGUUGAUAUAAUGAUAAGGAUAAUACUGUUCUUAUCGUAUUGUCUUUCACUAUGAGAAACAAUUUGAGCUGCUAUGGCUCUAGUACUCAUUGUUCGGUCAUUUCUAGAAUGCCUUCCUCAAUUUGCAACAUUUUCAGCCUGAUAUCCUCGUUGUUAUUUUAAAUACCGAAGUCCAAUGAUGACAUUUACAAACAUACGAGGAACUGGAUGAUUUCUUAAAGGAAACCUCCAUAGGGAUUUAAGAAAUACUAUCUGGCCAAGCAACAAGAUGGUGAGGCGUAUAUUAAGCGAACGCAUGACACAACCCAGUAAAAAUGUUAAUGACCACCUCGUCGCUGUUUCGCUGCUGAGGAUUUGAUAAUUACGAAGAAAAAAAGAGAUUAAAGUCCGGCGAAAUAUCGCCUAAUGAUACUGCCGGAGUUGUUCUUGUGUCACACUCAGGUCAAUACACGGCUAGAUGUAAAGUAAUUGGACGGUUUACGAAUUUAAUCGGAGUUUCUAUAAUAAAAGACCAAUUACCACCUCACGUCGCCGGCCCCUGAGCCUUUCAAAAGGCUUAAGAAGGAAGAGUCUACUCCGUGAUCAGCAAACGACACGGGAAAGUGUUGGAGGCGGUCGGAAUGGACGAAAAAGAAAAAGCGUUUCUUGUGCAAGCCCAAAUUCCCGUCAUCGAGAGUGAAGGAUUUGCUGGGG